rnacentral:misc_RNA from 1 species
CAUCUUUAACACCUGUUCGCAUAAAAAUUGUCAACUAGCAGGUAACAACAUCUAAAGAUUAAGUUCUUCUAAAAAUUCGGGAAAAACACAAAGUAACCAAUAUAAACACAAAGAACCAAUGUCAAGUAGGAUUACAAGACAGAAGUACACAAAAUUUACAAAUUUUUUACGUGGUCUAGGUGGCAAAGCAGAUGGGUUAGGAAGUAGAAAAUAAAUCGCGGUAAUGUUUAGUCAUUGUUAUAUUUAUGUGUUUUGCUAAUUUGAUUUGCCUGCAUUUCUCAUGUUUCAUGUGGUUCGUAUGAAACCUAG